AUUGAACGCUAACGGCAGGCUUAACACAUGCAAGUCGAACGGGCACUUCGGUGCUAGUGGCAGACGGGUGAGUAACACGUAGGAACGUACCUUUCGGUUCGGAAUAAUUCAGGGAAACUUGGACUAAUAGCGGAUACGCCCUUCGGGGGAAAGAUUUAUCGCCGAUAGAUCGGCCCGCGUCUGAUUAGCUAGGUGGUGAGGUAAUGGCUCACCAAGGCGACGAUCAGUAGCUGGUCUGAGAGGAUGACCAGCCACAUUGGGACUGAGACACCGCCCAAACUCCUACGGGAAGCAUCAGUGGGUAAUGUUGCACGAUGGGCACAAGCCUGAUCCAGCCCUGCCGCGUGAGUGAUGAAGUCCUGAGGGUUAUAAAGCUUUUUAGUCGGGGAAGAUAGUGACUGUACCGGAAGAAUAAGCCCCGGCUAACUUCGUGCCAGCCGCCGCCGUAA
rnacentral:rRNA from 1 species